AGUCUCGUUCUGUCACCCAGGCUGGAGUGCAGUGGCAUAAUUUCAGCUCAUGGCAACCUCCGCCUCCAAGGUUCAAGUGAUUAUCAUGCCUCAGCCUCCCAAGUAGCUGAGAUUACAGGCACCUGCCACCACACCUGGCUAAUGUUUGUAUUUUUAGUAGAGGUGGGGUUUCUUUUCAAAUCAUACAUUCAUCAAUUUUGGUAUCUUUAUGCUAUUUAAUAAAUAGAAAAUUUUCCUUCUUUUAAUUCCUCUGGAAUUGUUUUUUCAGCUUUACUAAAGGUAUAUCUGACAAUUUAAAAUUGUGUCUAGGGAGUGGCUGGAGUGGCAGCUGGGCAGCAAGACUAACUCUGGAUCCACCAGGCCAGGUGUCGUGUACAGAGGCUGGGACAGCCAUCCCCAACUCCAAUGCCCAGUCCCCAGCACACCAGCACUUUCUGGUGAUGUUGCACAUUUAUGGUGAUUCUGAGUGUGGGAGCAGACUUCUGCCAG
rnacentral:sRNA from 1 species